CUUUGGGAGUUGGCACAGAUGGAUUGUAUCCUGUUUGCAGUUGAGGUGAGCUUUUUCCAGCAGCUGCUUUUCCUCCAAUCCCCUCAGGAGAAUUGGAGCCAGCUAGCAUGGCCCUCGGGGUGCUGUUUUUACUGGUGGCAUUUACUCAAGUCUUUCUGCAGACAGUCUUUCUGCUUCAAGCGCACCCAGUCUCCUGGAGACAUCAACAACAAUUACCGGUACAGCAGCUCUAACAGUCUCAGAUACAACCCCAGGCAGAGCAGAUGUCACCUCAAAAGCAGCCAGCUCACCUGUGCCCCAAUCCACUAGAGCCACAAGCAGCACCACAAAAACAAAUGACUCGACCACCAAUUGGAGCACCGUGAGUUCUCCUACCGGAUCCAAAGAGCCUCUCACUACUACCCAAACUGUGGAGUCCAUCAACGGCAGCACUUCGGCAGGACCGCUUAGCCCCGAACCGGCAUUUUCAGCAAAACCAGGCCUCGUGGUUGUGAUCUGUCUCUUCGUCUUUGUCCUAGUCAUUGUAGCAGUUGUGGUCUUAAUAAAAUGCUGCCGUCCGAAGGAACCAGCCUUUAAGAAAUUGGAAGAGGUGCCGAUGGGAAAAGUUACAGAAGAUUCUCCAUUUGCCCGAUUCCCACCAAAAUAACCAAGCAGACCCUUUCCAACUCAUCUUCUGGAUUCUUGCUCCAUGGAUAUUUUAAGCAAGCAUCAAGAAUGUCUACUCCACCCAAGAGACUUUGUGUGUGAAAUAAACUUGUUCCAGUUGCAUGAGUGCCAA